rnacentral:rRNA from 1 species
GACGAACUGCCCAACCGUUGUUCGGAAUCACUGGGCUUAAAGGGCGCGUAGGCGGCAGAUCAAGUCAGGGGUGAAAUCCGGCAGCUCAACUGUCGAAGUGCCUUUGAUACUGAUUUGCUCGAGGGAGAUAGGGGUCUGCGGAACUUCCGGUGGAGCGGUGAAAUGCGUUGAGAUCGGAAGGAACGCCCGUGGCGAAAGCGAGGUCCUGGACGCCUACUGACGCUGAGACGCGAAAGCCAGGGGAGCGAACGGG